GUCCACGCCUUAACUAUGGAUACUAAGUGUCGGCGGUUACCGCCGGUGCCGCAGCUAACGCAGUAAGUAUCCCGCCUGGGAAGUACGGCCGCAAGGUUGAACUCAAAGGAAUUGACGGGCCCGCACAAGCGGUGGAGCAUGUGGUUUAAUUCGACGCAACGCGAAGAACCUUACCCAGGCUGGACAUGCAGGUAGUAGAAGGGUGAAAGCCCAACGAGGUAGCAAUACCAUCCUGCUCAGGUGCUGCAUGGCUGUCGU
rnacentral:rRNA from 1 species